GUAUGAUCCUGCAAAGCAUCUUUGGAGGUAUAAUCCCAUGCUAAAGAGGGCUGGGAUUCAAGGUGUGCUUUCCUUUGGGGGCCACUUGUAACACGGUGGCCAGGUUUCACUAUACCAGCACUGACUUGUGAUGAAAAUCCAGUCAGUGUGAGUAGCUUCUCUGGAACAUCUGGGGCCUGCAGCAGCUGGAGAAGAAAUGAGGCUGUGUAAUUACAACGUCUGCAUACAGCUGGUGAUGCAGCUUCCUGCACUGACUCUGUCCGCAGCAGCCCUGCCCUCCCUCUGAUUUCUG
rnacentral:lncRNA from 1 species